UACGUAGGUGGCAAGCGUUGUCCGGAAUUAUUGGGCGUAAAGCGCGCGCAGGCGGUUUCUUAAGUCUGAUGUGAAAGCCCCCGGCUCAACCGGGGAGGGUCAUUGGAAACUGGGAAACUUGAGUGCAGAAGAGGAAAGUGGAAUUCCAAGUGUAGCGGUGAAAUGCGUAGAGAAUUUGGAGGAACACCAGUGGCGAAGGCGACUUUCUGGUCUGUAACUGACGCUGAGGCGCGAAAGCGUGGGGAG
rnacentral:rRNA from 1 species